rnacentral:tRNA from 1 species
GCCGUAGCCGGGCUGGCCGUAGGGACCCGGCUGCUGGGGCUGGCCGUAGGGACCGGGGUUGUACGGCCCCGGCUGCUGCG